rnacentral:lncRNA from 1 species
UCCUUGACCUACAUACAUUGUUCAUCGUAGCAGCGGGAACACAUUACGCGUUAUGAAAUAACGUUAUUCCAAGGACAGGAUAUAUAUAUACGAGUUUCCGUAUAAAGCAAUAGGACAUUAUACGAUUCCUGCAUACUUUUUGUGCGUGCAAAGACAUUGAUGACAGAAAGCUCCAGUCUCCAUACAGCAUGGUGUCUUCUAGGUGAACAGACUUUACCCGACUGAACAAGGGGAGCAUGUAUUUUUAAUAUGAAUGAGACAGGAAAUAGCAGCUGCAGGAAUAUCCCUUCAUCUUACACAGUUGUGGAAGCCAGCAAGUUUCAGGAUGAAUGGGUUGUGAAGAUAAUCAGUUCCACAUACACAGUUUGACAGUUUGUGUACAUUGCCUUGGUAGUGGCCUGCUUGAUGUGGUCAGUUUGGGAUGAAAUGGAGCAGUGGUCAUUAGUUCCCACGGAUGACCGGUUGCCAUGACAGUAAAUGGACUACUUACAGCCCCAGCAUGCAUGCAACAUUGUGUUUUUGCCUUGUUGAACAUGCGUGGAAUGUAUUUUAUAUGAAGUAGACAGGAAAUGGCAGUUGCAAGAAAAGCUCUUCAUCUCACCCAGAUAUGCAACACAGCAAGUUUCAGGAUGAAUGAUUUGUGAAGAGCCAUAGUAAACAGCAAAUUCACUUCUGAAAUUGUGUAAAGAGCAGCAUGCAGACCAAGAGGUCUGUUUUACACUGAGUGAGAGUGCUACCAAAACCACCCAGAACAAGACUUCCAAACACAGCAGAUCCUGUGGAGCCAGUUAUAUGGAACAGUACAGUUGCACAACAAAUGUGGGUUCCAGGUAACACAGAAUCAAAUUCCCCCAUAUACAUGGAAACUAUUCUAGUAGAGGCAGCAUAUACAGCUAGGAGAUUGUGUUGGACAAUACUCCAUCACUGAAGGCAAAUACACACAAUGAACAUGUUAAAAUGUGAAUUGAUAUUUAAGUUCAGUUAUAAUUUGUUAUAAUAACUUUCCCCGCAUGUAUGGAAACUGGUAUAUUACAAGUAGAGGCAGCAUAUACAGCUAGAUUGUGGUAGACUAUUAGCCAUCUCUGAAGGGAAAAAGACAUCAUUUAGGUGUGAAUAUAUAUUUCAGCUCAAAUAUGAUAUGUUAUAGAUGAUCUCUGUUAGUGUUUGGUCAUGAUUUGCAAUUGCAAAUUUAAUCGCAUUUAUUAUAUACAGACACUUUUGGUCUGUCUAUAUUUUGAUCAUGGUAUCUGUCCAGUGUCAUCACCAUAUAGCACUUUGUGACUCAUCUGUUGUUUACCCUAUAACUGAUAAACUGUAUUUUUGUUGGAAUUUUAAUUUCUCUAGAAAAUCAACAUCAUUGGAUUAUUUUAUGAUAUCGUUUUGGUAUCUUUAGCAGUUUGGACAUGCUGCUACAGUAUGUCCAGAGCAUAACAAAUUGAAGUAGCAAUGUGGAUAUGUUUGUAUUUUCGUCUGACGUUUUGUUUAUGAUUCUGAUAUUUUAUCCAGUUACUAAAUAUCACCAUUUUGUGAAUUAAUGAAAUUAUCAAAAGUUCAUUGUCAAGUGAUUUGUCUGGUGCAUGGCAGGUUACUUCAUCUGAUAGUCUAAUGAUGCCAGGGUCCAGUGGUUCAAAAUGUUGUAUAGUCUGAGGCUCAGUGCUUGUAAAAUCUGAAAGUACAAUAGUGAAUGGUGUAAUAUAGCGAUUAUAGGAUCUGUGGAGGGCAUUAAUGUUUUUAAUGACUGGCCUUUACUCCAUUAUGCCCCAGCAUGGGUCAGGUGUUAUUUAAUGGCUCUAAUUUCAUUGUUUCUUGAGCUCAAACAUUUGGUUUUAUGGUCUUGUUGCCUGCUGCUGUAAACAUAAAUAGUUAUGUCAUCACACUCAAGGUAUAUUUAACAAGAUAAAAAACAGUAAUUCCUUUCAAUGAAGUAUUUUAUUUGUCGGAAUUAUAUGACAUACAUAUUUGCAUUCCCCAGUAAUGUAGGAGCAUCUGUAAUUUCUAAGACUGUAUUAAUGUCUUUAACAGCAACAAAUCUGUUUGCGAUUUUUGCUAUGAUGCUUUCAGCUUUAAUGAUAGAUUUUUGCACAUUUUACAGCUAUGCACGUUCAUGUAGUAGUUAAAUAUAUUUAUUUCUGUGACAGUACCGAUAUCAUUACAAAGCAUACAAAGCCUAUCUUCCAACUUCUCAUUUGCAAAUUGAACAUCUCCACCGCUGAAUUCACAAAAAAAUAAUCUUUAGUUUUGGCUAACUAUUCAAAAGGCAAGGGAUAUAAAAAUAUUAUCCAUGCCUAAUUAUUUUUUCAAUUAACUUAGAAAUCAAGGCAAACACUUUCUCAUCCCUUGCUCUUUCUUGUUCAAGGCACUGAGCCUCUUGUCUCAGGCGUAGAUUCUCUUGCUGGAACCGCUGAUCCUCCUGCUGGAGGCGCUGGGCAUCCAGCUCCUGCUGCUUCUUGCCAAUGUUGUAAUAUUCGUCAAAAUUUGGCCCUGGAAGUCUUCUUGUCUUUGGGUGGCUGACCACUUGUGGAGGGCUGACUCUCCUCCACAUCUGCUGGCUUUGCUGAGGCCCUUCUCCUUUUCUGCCUCCUCUCUUUUUGUUUUGCUUCUGGCUGUCGUCUGCAGCCGCAUUCUAUUCAAGCACAUCAGUGAGUUUUUGUAGCAAGUGGUCUCUUUCACUGACUUUUUCAGCUGUUCUUGAUCUAUAAAAAACAAGGUGAAAUGAAUGUACUCCUAAACCCUCAGUCUAUUCAACUGAUGAUUAAUAAAGCAUUGUACUGGCAAAUGAAGUAUGUGUGUGUGUGUGUGUGUGUGUGUGUGUGUGUGUGUGUGUGUCCUGGUUAAGAACUUGGAUUUCUGUUGUUCUGAUGGUCUGAGGGUCAGUAACACCCUGGUCUCGAUCUCCAGUAGCUAUAGGGUCUUGGUUUGUUGGGUCUGUUGUUUUUGGCCUUGUACAACCGUUUUCCUUGCUCUGUAGGACUGGAAGUUAUCUUCCUGGCUGCCAAUGUUGGAUUGAAUUCUAGCACUUGAUGCCUAAAAUGCCCAACUUCCUUCAGAUGAACAUGUCCGCCUUCUGGAGUAAUGGAGAAUCUCCUCAGGAACGUAUGUUUUAGCGCAUCUGUCCAUAUCUCCUCAGUGCCUUGUGAGGCGGAGUGCCUGGUCUGGGGUGGUACAAGUGAUUCUGACAUUCUUUUUUCUUGUUACAUACUGCUGUGUCUAUUGUCUAAUUAAUAGAACCAUCUUUCCCUCAAUAAUUGUUAAACUAUAAUCUAACUGAAUAAAACCUACAUAUUCUAAUGUGCCUAGGGUUUGUACAAAUAAGGCAGCAAAGCUGUCAAGUGUACACGGACAAAAAGAAAAUAAUGUCAACUCACUGGUUGUCUGUGUGUUAAUUGAUUUAUAAAACAAAUGUAUUUCAUGAAGAUACAUUUGAUUAUCAUGUACAUGUAAUGACUGUGCCAUGUUUCCAUUACAUACAUUACCUUCUCACUAGAGCCUGGAGUAGACCGUAUUCUGUAUACUUAAUCCUCAGGUAACCCACAUGCUGUGAGAUUGGUCUCUUUCAGAUCUGUUGCUAUCAGCUCCUCUUUUGUCUUUAGAUUUCUGUGAUACACAAUUUUAGCUGUAAAUGUGAGCAGAUGCAUUGCUUAUGUUGCUGAAUUUGCAUGGUUCUUAACAUAUGCCUUUCCAUUCUAAAACAUUCUAAAACCUGCUAUUUCCUGGGUGUUGGCUAUUUAGUCAAGGGUAAACUGCCAGUUAAAGCGAAAGUGAAAGGUGGUAUGUUGAGAGACUUUUUUUCUCUAAGCUGGCUGCUAAUAGCGAAGCCUUUGUCAGCCUUUACACUGUCUCCUUCUAGAAGGUCUAAUAUUCCACUUCCUGUGUGUCAGAGGUGCAGUGAUCUGUGUCAGAGGUGCAGCUAGUAAACAAAGAAGAAAUGAAGUUUGUCGAAAAAUUUGGGGCAAUACCAUUGAGAGCUUUAAAUGUAUUAUGGCUCUUGUAAUUUGAGUAUGUUUUGCUACUUAAAAACAAGGGAUGUGUUGGCCCCCAACACAAAAUACAACAAGUUGGCCCAGGUUAUAAUCUUUCUUCUCACAGUGCUUAAAUGGCACUUGAAUCAGUUGGCAAAAUCUUGUUCAUAGAGCCCAGCUUUUAAUCUACACAAGAACAUGAACAGUUCGUCAAUUAGAAGCAUAUUACGUGGACGGCCCCUCAAACUUGGUCUUUCUGAUGCUGCUUAAUAAGCACUCUGCAUGUUGUCUGCUGCUGGUUUUACAAAUUCAAACAAUAAUCUAAAUGUAGAACAAGUAAAACCUGUAUAAAAUAUCAUAAUGGUAUCGUCUGAACCAAAUCUUUCAACCCCAAAUGUCUCCAAAGAUAGCUGCUGUUUCAGAUUGGUAUUUUCCUCUUGUAAGCUUGUAAGAGGAAAUUGAAUCAGAAAUAUAAAGUAUAUAUACAUAAGGCAAGAAUGACAAAUAUAUAUAUGGCCAGAUCUUAACCAUAAGUUUCCUCCCUUUUUCUUUUCAUUUUUUUCUUCAUAAAUACCCCUUUGUCCCUUCCAUUUUGACAAAGAAAGGUCUUUGUCUAGGUUGAAAGAGGACAAUGUUGCAAUUUUAUGAAAAAGAAACAAAUAAUGUGAAAUUGAUCAAUGAAUUGAUAUUCACAUUGGAGUAAUAAAUAUUAAAUUAAAACAUCUAUUAAUCUAAAUUUUCUCUAAAUGAAAAGUGAUGAUAUGACUAAAAAGUAAUUAAGUACAUGUGUAUAUAUAUAAGUUCCAUAAUCACUACACAUCCAUAUUGAUUAUAGAACAACAAAUAACCUAAAAAAAUUCUUCCAGUCCUUCAUCGCUUUCAACCAAUCGUUAGCUCUUUGUAACGGAAUAUGCUUCUUCCCAUCUAAAUAUUUCAAUUUGUCCAUUUCUAGACACAUUGAAUUAUUUUCUGUUCUAGCAUCCUUUACAUCAAACAUCUGCUCAUCCCUCAUUUUUCUUAAAAGCCUCAUUUCCUUCUCAAAUACCUAUAAAUUAAUAAAUAUGUACCUCACCAAACUAAUUCACACUCAAAAGAAGCCCUUAUUUAACCUCUUCAAUUUAAUCCUAUCACCAAUUACACACCUGCAAUAACAAAUCGCAAACAUUUUUCUUUCCAGUAAUUACUGUUUCUACAAACAAAAAUCUCUCUAACCUGAUGAAUUUCAACAUAACUAAUAUCAACUAAUAAAAAACACUCAUACUGGCACCAAGAGUACUGGUUGAAUCAGUGUGUUGUUAGAGAUACUAUAAAUUUAUACAGUCUUCAACAAAUUUAUAUAAACCAAGGUCUUGGGCACUUCCUUUCUGCAGCUUCUGUCUGUAUGAGCAGGUUUUCUUUGAGGACAGGUUCCUCCAUGAUCUACUGCAUGAAAAACAUCGCAAUUACAAAUGCUUGUGCAUAGGGGACAUCGUAAAUUAUAUUUUCCCGUCGUCGACAUUGGGCUGCGGAACAAGUUGGUGGUAUGUCGAGAUUUCCGUCGAAGUAAGCGUGUUCGAAGAGGGAGGGAGAAGCGACUUCAUAUCUACAGGCUCUUUAGCCCAGAUUUUUUCCCUGAGGGUCUUGGGGACAUGUUGGUCUAAUAAUGAAUAGUAGCCCUUACCUUGAGAGCCCUGAUCUUGAACCGAGCCGAGGAGGUGAGUGGUUAGCUGAAGCUGUGUUUGGUUAGAGGCAAGGUUACCCAUGUAAUCCUGAGAGGACGUAAGACCGGGAUUAGAGAAGGAGUAACCCGUGUUACCCUGUGACGACGAGGUAGGCUGACAAACUUGUGGUUGGACUGAAUUACCCAUGUAACCCGAGUUACCCAUGUAACCCUGUGGGAAUGGAGGGUGGGUUGGAGCAGAGAAACCCAUGUUACCCUGUCACAACGUGGAAGGCUGGUCGUGAGAUUGCAGAUGCACGGAGUUACCCAUGCAACCCUGCACGGGAGGUAGCUAAGUCGGGGCAGAGUAACCCAUGUUACUCGGCAUUGACCUUACUGCUUCUAGAUUCACGGUGUGCGAGGACGCUCGGCCGUGUAGGGAAACCUGGCUCUGGAUAGGGUUACCCAUGUAACCCUGUGAGGUUAGUUGAUUGCUAGAUGGUGGGCUGUUUAUGACACCAUGAGGAGCUUGACGCGAAGAAGUCGGGUUGCUAUUGAUUGUGCGUACAUCAGAGGUCAGUGGUCCGCUACUAGGAAUCGAGUUAAGGGCGUCGGCUCCCAUCUUCUUCCUUCAUAAGCCUGUUCUUUGUUUCUGUUACCAUAAUUUGCAAGAAUUCUCUUCUUGGGACGCCAUAAUCAAUGGCCUCCUCACCAUGAAAAGCCACGUAUAGGGGAUAGCGUAGAUUUUCUACUGUCAGCAAUUGUUCAAGGCCAUCCUCCCACACAGAAUAUCUGCUAACAAAUAUUUCUGUGUGGUCAUAACUUGGGGUUUCCUCUGUAUCUAUUUUUUUUUUAUGCCUGGGAUGUGAACAGCUCGGAAGUUAAUAUUCUCCGUAAGGCAAUGUAAAAAGUUUUCUAAGUAAGAUCGUGAUAGUAUGGUCCUUGGAUGUACAUUUGUUCAAUAUAAAGGUCAGGGCCUCAUUGUCGGCAUAGAACUUCUUUCUUCUGCUUAAUACAAAUGAAACAUAUCCCAUAACAAAAGACAGACAACACCAAGUAAACAUUUUAUAAAUCGACUUCUUUUUAAUAUAAUCAUAAUAUAAACUUGUUAUCUUGCAGUUCAAAAUUUUUUAACAUCAAUUUUCUUUGUAAAAAAACCUUCAUUAAAAUACCUUAUAUGUAUUAUUUCUGUUAUGUUAAAGGGAUUCCCUUACCAUAGUAUGAAACAUUUUCUUUUUAACACUGCCUUAAAAAUUCGUUAAAUUAAUUUUAAUUCAACUUUCCAUGAAUUAAGUUUCUGAUUACAAAUUUCCUACAUAUACAUUUAAGUACAAAACUAAACUACAUGCAUCCAAUAUACCAGCCUAUAAAGCAAAUUUUUAUGAGAACAAAAUCCAAUACAUUUCAUACUUAAGAACAUAAUAUUCAAAUUGACAACAUGAAAACAAUAUUGAAUCCAUCUUAACAUAGAAAACAUUUUUAUAUAUCCAUUCUUCCACAUUUCUUUUGUCACAAUUGCCUCACAAAAAACCUUUUUGUUAUAAUACAAAAAGUCCAUAUCUUCUCCCAUUUUCUUGAAACUUAUUACCUUUUUAAUUUCCAAAGGUGCCAAAUAAUUAAACAAACUUGUAAUUUAACCACUCCUUUUUCCUCUACAUGCCAUAAAUAAUCAUUCCUAAGAAACUCUGCUCCCAUUACUAAUGUCGUUGUCAACUUGAAGUAAUUCCUACGUCACAUACCUCUACCUGCAAUCACUUUCAAAUAUAACUUCCUCUCCUUUGUCUUUUCCACCUCAAAUCAUGGGUUUUAACCACCACAUAUUACUAAGAAGAGACUUAACUCACUUACAUACAAAAACUAUUAUUUGAACUAGUCCAACUCCUACCCUUUCAACUAAAAUGAACAUUUAACAAAAAAUUACACCAAAAAUUUACCAUUAAAAAGAUAUACCAUUAAUGAAUACUACCCCUCUUCCCUAAAUAAUACAAGAAAUUUAAUUAAAUAAAUAGAAUAAGAAAAAAAACUUUCUAAGAUAAAAAAAUUCACCGUAAAUAGUACCUGUCCCUCAUAUAAUAUAGUAAAUUUAAACAUUGUUUCCUGCUUAUGGAAUUUUGUAUUUUAUCUAAGCUUUCAAUUAACAUUUCUCAGGAUUUUGAAUACAAGGCUUCACAUCCCCAAAUAUUAAAAAAAAUGCACCCAAACAGGUACAUCUUCUGUGCGGUAACAACCAAACACCUUUUCUCCAAGCUGCAUCUUUACACAUUAUUUUGCUAUACUUACUUCUGCUUCAUUUUCUUCUAGCAUUCCAAGGUAGUCUAAACAAUAUUUUUUUUUAAAAAAGAAUAACAGAUCUAAACAUUUUUUUUUUCAUUGCCCCUAAAUUUCUAAUUGCAAUCUCUGCAGCACAUUCUGAGUCUCUCAUCUUUCCAUAUCUUAGACAAAUGUUCUAAAACAAAUGAGUCAACAGGUUUAGAACCUUCAAACUCUAACAUUUUAACAGACUCUUCAUAAGAAUCAUGUGGGGUCUCAACCCAAUCAUUUUCCUCCUCCAUCAAGAUGGCAUACAUAUUUUGGCUUUCCAUACCUGAACUUCUUUCGCCUGUGAAACUUAACUGAAAUCUUCUGUCUCUACACAGCUUUUCAACUGCACACUCAAGAGCAACAAGAGAUCUCCUUGGUCAUGACCCUUUUAUUAGUUCCGUUUCAUCUACUGGUACAUACCUAUCAUAAAAUGGAAAAACUGUGUAGAGAGCAAAUGUUAUGUGUCCGCCUAGAAGUCCAGCUGAUUGCACACUGAAGUCCGAUAAGCCUGUGCUAUCUCAUGUGCUUUCGUAAUGAACUUGAUCGUGAUGAAGUAGAAUACUGCUGAGAAGCACAUAAAAAGUCAUCCUCAAGAAGGCUGACAUCCCCAUCUGUCCCCAUCUGUCGUAGACCUGCCUACAAAGAAAAUGCAUUGGAAAUUUAGACAAAUUUGGUCUUGUAUGGUGGCGGAUCUCUGAUCAAUAUAUGAACAUUUUCAGCCUACCCCUUUCAAAACACUUGCUGAGAUUUUCCCUCAUAGCCCUAUGCUCCCAAAUGAAGUCCCCAGGUCUUGUUCCAAAGCAUAGAGCCGAUGCAUUAGCAGCUUCAAAAAUACCACAGUCAUUUCCGCCAGUUUGCUCCUGAACGUCUAUAUGCUCCAUAAUAAUUUCCUUGGAUGGAGCAAAAAGCAAUAAGGCAACGAUCUCGGCAAUCUUUAUACUAAGUCUAGGACUAUGUCUGGAAUCAUAAACUUGAACACAAUUGCUAAUAUUUAUGUUAUUUAUGUUGGAAAGAGUAAGCCAAAGGAAGUUAAGAUUAACUAUCUGCACAAAUGAUGAAGUGGGGGAUAGAAAAGAAAUUACCACUUAUAACAAACUCUUUGUCAUCGUGCCUUGAUUUGAAGAAAGCUCUGUUCUUAGUCUACUCAAAUCAUUUUUUGGAACCCAUGUAAGACAGUGACAAGCUAACAAGGACAAUGUCCUUGCAUAAUGCAUCUGUAUGCAUACUAAUUACCUUGCUGGCACCCGAGUCUCCCUGUUGAACGUCGGGGG